CCUCGGUCCCCGUCCCUCGGGUCCAUGGGGCCCGGCGCAGCCGCCCCACAUGGCACACCCUUUGUCUUUGCAGGAGAAGCAUCUCGUUGCCCAGCUGGAAGAGCAGCUGCAGGCUGAGACAGAGGAGAUGGAGGUAGCGUGGAGGGGCGAGGGGAUGGGGGCUGCCCGCCCCCGCGUGGGGACCUGGAGGACGUCUGCAGCGGGCACGGGCACUCACGCUUUUGUCUGCCAGGUGCUGCGCCAGGAAAAACAGCGCCUGCAAGAGGAGCGGGAGGAGCUGGAGCUGGAGGGUGCCUGGUGAGUGGGACUGGGCCUCUGCAGCACCCGGGGCAGCAACGGGACUGCAGUGCUGCUGGGCUUGGGGCUUGGGUUUCAGUUGGGCACAUGGUGUGACAGAGCAGCCCGACCCCAGCCCGGGGGUGGGCACGCACUGCUGGGGAGCCC
rnacentral:lncRNA from 1 species